rnacentral:tRNA from 1 species
GCCCAGGUGGCUCAGCGGUAUAGCGCCUGCCUUCGGCCCAGGGGCGUGAUCCUGGAGACCCGGGAUCAAGUCCCACCUUGGGCU